rnacentral:rRNA from 1 species
CGGGUGAGUAAUGCGUGACCAACCUGCCCCAUGCUCCAGAAUAGCUCUUGGAAACGGGUGGUAAUGCUGGAUGCUCCAACUUGACGCAUGUCUUGUUGGGAAAGUGUUUAGUGGCAUGGGAUGGGGUCGCGUCCUAUCAGCUUGUAGGCGGGGUAAUGGCCCACCUAGGCUUCGACGGGUAGCCGGCCUGAGAGGGCGGACGGCCACAUUGGGAUGAGAUACGGCCCAGACUCCUACGGGAGGCAGCAGCC